CCAUACCAGCCGGGGACUUAGCGGAGCCCUGCACCUGAAAUCCGCUACAGCAGGGGUGGAUCCCGCAUUUGAGGGUCAAACCUUUUCGAAUUGAGUCCUAUCCUUUGUGUUGAGGGGUGGGUCUUGCGCAAUCGGGAGCUGUGAACCAUGUCAGAUGGGGAACCAAGCAGCAUUAAGCGGUUAACCCGAUGUGCCGCGAGAGCGCCUGCCCUGAGCAGGGGGUAUGAAGAUCGCGUGGAGGCGAGGUUCGAUUUUGCGGUGUAUGG
rnacentral:SRP_RNA from 1 species